rnacentral:rRNA from 1 species
GCGGAGGAAAAGAAACCACCAGGGAUUGCCUCAGUAGCGGCGAGUGAAGCGGCAAAAGCUCAAAUUUGAAAUCUGGCGUCUUUGGCGUCCGAGUUGUAAUUUGAAGAAGGUAUCUUUGGGCCCGGCUCUUGUCUAUGUUCCUUGGAACAGGACGUCACAGAGGGUGAGAAUCCCGUGCGAUGAGAUGACCCGGGUCUGUGUAAAGUUCCUUCGACGAGUCGAGUUGUUUGGGAAUGCAGCUCUAAGUGGGUGGUAAAUUCCAUCUAAAGCUAAAUAUUGGCGAGAGACCGAUAGCGAACAAGUACAGUGAUGGAAAGAUGAAAAGAACUUUGAAAAGAGAGUGAAAAAGUACGUGAAAUUGUUGAAAGGGAAGGGCUUGAGAUCAGACUUGGUAUUUUGCAUGCUGCUCUCUCGGGGGCGGCCGCUGCGGUUUACCGGGCCAGCAUCGGUUUGGAGCGGCAGGAUAAUGGCGGAGGAAUGUGGCACGGCUUCUGCUGUGUGUUAUAGCCUCUGACGAUACUGCCAGCCUAGACCGAGGACUGCGGUUUUUACCUAGGAUGUUGGCAUAAUGAUCUUAAGUCGCCCGUCUUGA